rnacentral:rRNA from 1 species
CCUACGGGUGGCAGCAGUGGGGAAUAUUGGACAAUGGGGGAAACCCUGAUCCAGCGACGCCGCGUGAGUGAAGAAGUAUUUCGGUACGUAAAGCUCUAUCAGCAGGAAAGAAAAUGACGGUACCUGACUAAGAAGCCCCGGCUAACUACGUGCCAGCAGCCGCGGUAAUACGUAGGGGGCAAGCGUUAUCCGGAUUUACUGGGGGUAACGGGAGCGUAGACGGCAGCGCAAGUCUGGAGUGAAAUGUCGGGGCCCAACCCCGGAACUGCUCUGGAAACUGUGAAGCUGGAGUGCAGGAGAGGUAAGCGGAAUUCCGGGUGUAGCGGUGAAAUGCGUAGAUAUCAGGAGGAACACCGGCGGCGAAGGCGGCUUACUGGACUGUAACUGACGUUGAGGCUCGAAGGCGUGGGGAGCAAACAGGAUUAGAUACCCGGGUAGUC